AGAGUUUGAUCAUGGCUCAGCGCGAACGCUGUCGGCGUGCCUAACACAUGCAAGUCGUGGGGCAGCAGGCCGGUUCCUUUUGGAACUGGUGCUGGCGACCGGCGAACGGGUGAGUAACGCGUGAGCAACCUACCCCGAGGAGGGGGAUAACCCGGGGAAACCCGGGCUAAUACCCCAUAAGCGCACGGCUCGCAUGAGCUGUGUGAAAAGGGUGGCCUCUGCAUAGCAAGCUGCCGCCUCGGGAUGGGCUCGCGUCCCAUCAGGUAGUUGGUGAGGUAACGGCUCACCAAGCCUACGACGGGUAGCUGGUCUGAGAGGAUGGCCAGCCACACCGGGACUGAGACACGGUCCAGACUCCUACGGGAGGCAGCAGUGGGGAAUAUUGCACAAUGGGGGAAACCCUGAUGCAGCAACGCCGCGUGAGCGAAGAAGCCUUCGGGUCGUAAAGCUCUGUCCUAAGGGAAGAAGGAUGACGGUACCUUAGGAGGAAGCCCCGGCUAACUACGUGCCAGCAGCCGCGGUAAAACGUAGGGGGCGAGCGUUAUCCGGAAUGACUGGGCGUAAAGGGUGUGUAGGCGGCCGGUAAAGUCUGGGGUGAAAGGCUACGGCUUAACCGUAGUAAGCCUUGGAAACUUAUCGGCUUGAGUGCAGGAGAGGAGAGCGGAAUUCCUAGUGUAGCGGUGAAAUGCGUAGAUAUUAGGAGGAACACCAGUGGCGAAGGCGGCUCUCUGGACUGCAACUGACGCUGAGGCACGAGAGCGUGGGGAGCGAACAGGAUUAGAUACCCUGGUAGUCCACGCCGUAAACGAUGAGUGCUAGGUGUUGGAGGCUUUGCCUUCAGUGCCGCAGUUAACGCAUUAAGCACUCCGCCUGGGGAGUACGGUCGCAAGACUGAAACUCAAAGGAAUUGACGGGGACCCGCACAAGCAGCGGAGCAUGUGGUUUAAUUCGAAGCAACGCGAAGAACCUUACCAGGACUUGACAUCCCUGUGACAGCUUCUUAAUCGAAGCCUUCCCUUCGGGGACACAGGAGACAGGUGGUGCAUGGUUGUCGUCAGCUCGUGUCGUGAGAUGUUGGGUUAAGUCCCGCAACGAGCGCAACCCUUGUCUUUAGUUGCCAGCACUUAGGGUGGGCACUCUAAAGAGACUGCCGGUGACAAACCGGAGGAAGGUGGGGAUGACGUCAAAUCAUCAUGCCCCUUAUGUUCUGGGCUACACACGUGCUACAAUGGCUGGUACAAAGGGAAGCGAAGGAGUAAUCCGGAGCGAAUCCCAAAAAGCCAGUCCCAGUUCGGAUUGUGGGCUGCAACUCGCCCACAUGAAGUCGGAGUUGCUAGUAAUCGCGAAUCAGAACGUCGCGGUGAAUACGUUCCCGGGUCUUGUACACACCGCCCGUCACACCAUGGGAGCCCAUGGCACCCGAAGUCAGUGAGUCAACCGUAAAGGAGACAGCUGCCGAAGGUGAAAUGGGUGACUGGGGUGAAGUCGUAACAAGGUAAC
rnacentral:rRNA from 1 species